rnacentral:rRNA from 1 species
GGCCUAACACAUGCAAGUCGAGCGGCAGCACGGGUACUUGUACCUGGUGGCGAGCGGCGGACGGGUGAGUAAUGCCUAGGAAUCUGCCUAGUAGUGGGGGAUAACGUCCGGAAACGGGCGCUAAUACCGCAUACGUCCUACGGGAGAAAGUGGGGGAUCUUCGGACCUCACGCUAUUAGAUGAGCCUAGGUCGGAUUAGCUAGUUGGUGAGGUAAUGGCUCACCAAGGCUACGAUCCGUAACUGGUCUGAGAGGAUGAUCAGUCACACUGGAACUGAGACACGGUCCAGACUCCUACGGGAGGCAGCAGUGGGGAAUAUUGGACAAUGGGCGAAAGCCUGAUCCAGCCAUGCCGCGUGUGUGAAGAAGGUCUUCGGAUUGUAAAGCACUUUAAGUUGGGAGGAAGGGCAGUUACCUAAUACGUGAUUGUUUUGACGUUACCGACAGAAUA